AGACCUGAUGCUGCACCCCUGUGCCCUGACCUCCACUGAGAGGUUCGGUGCAGCUGUGCAGACAGCUCUGGAGCCACCAAGGCCCUGGCGUGGCUGGAACGGCUGGUGCCCAUGUGGGUCCUUCAGCUCCUCCCGCCUUGCAGUCCAGCCAACUUCUUGCCCAGGACUCUGGGCGCUUCCUGGCCAGCUUGAGUUCCAUGGGCCUCCUGUCGCUCAGGUCUGGUGACUGUAGCCCUGGUUCUCUGUGGGGGCGGGACCUCCAGCACCAGCCCCACCUUCCAGGGCCCCGUGGUCCUUUGAUGCUGUCCUUCCCUGGUCCUAGCCAGGGCAUCUGCAGCCCUCGUGAGCCUUCUCCAGUCUUGGCCUGGGCUGGGGUCAUUCAGUCCAGCUGCCCUGCCCCCUGACUGCUGGGCCUGUGAGGGAUGGAAAGGGAAUGUCGCCCCCCACAGGCUGGCACACCUCGUGCCCAGGCAGGGCUGGCCGAGGCCCAGGAGAAGGGGAAGGAGGCCAGAAGCUGUGGGAGGACUGGGGACAGCUACCAGGAGUGGCCAGCCUCUGGGGCCUCUUCAUGGCUGUGGGAAGUCAUCAGGACGGUGGGUCAGCAGGCAGCACCCUCCACACCUAGAGUCAAGGGGUGACUCCACCUCUCUGGCCCCAUCACCUUGAGCCUCAGCUGAGGGGGAGCCUCUGCUUGGUGGGGUCAGGCCUGCGCACCAGGGGUGUGCUCAGGGUGCGCUCCUGCACACAGUGGAGCAUGGAGACUGGCCGCUGGUCACUCUACUCCCUUAACAGGGGGUCCCAGCCACAGCUGGGGAAGGGGCUGUGAUUCUCCACUUUCUACAGCAGGGCUGGGGGUUGGAGGAGAGCCAGGUGUAGGGGCCAUGG
rnacentral:lncRNA from 1 species